AUGCUGGCCUUCCAUCACUUGGUUGGAUUUUUGGAAGCUGGGGUCCCAGGCCAGAGCUGGCCAGGCCAGGCUGGGCUGCAGGAUACUGACCCCCAGUUGGUGCAUACAUCUCCAAGUGCUGUGCAUGUCAGCAUUGCCGCAACACCCUGGAGUCCACUGCUGCUCAGACCCCAUGGAAGCCACAGCCCAGGUGGUGCCCCAUCCCUGAAGGCCCUAAAUGGACAGAGGAUGGAAGACGUCCAUGUGAGGACUGAGCAGAGCUGGAGCCGGGCUGCCACAACCGGAUCACCAAGGUCAGCCCGCAGCCCAGCUGGAGGAGGAGGACCCCUCUCCCCGGGAACACCAAGGAAGCCCAGUCCUGCCUAUGCCUUGCCUACAGGACCCCUGCUCCUGGCUGCAAGGGGACAGAGUCCUGAUGUGCGCAGCCCGGGAUCCGACCAGAGCAACCCCACAUUCUGCAUUGCCCAGGCAGCCACAGGUGUCAAGUCACCCACAGGACAGCUAUGUGCCCACCACUUGAUUCCACCAAAGGACCAAACCACACGUACCCACCCAGCUAGAUCAUGUGGCCUGCUGAGACUUGCAGCCGGACGCAAGGCAGAGGCCCUAGACACGUACAAGCCGUGCCAAGGGAUGCCCAGGCCUUGCCAGCAGACCCCAGAGCGCCAGUGACAUAUUUACGUGCUUUGCUUAUUCAUCCGCUUACUUUGUCCUGAGUACAGGAGGGCAUCCCACUCUUGCAGACAUGACCCUCAUGGAGGCCCAUGAGUCCCUGGAGGGGCAUUGUCCCUGGCCUGAGGCCCCAUCCUGGGAGGCUGCCCCCUGGUAGACAGGAAAACUCUCCACAGCCCUGGUGCCCUCACUGAGGUGGCCUGGCCCGAAUGACAGCAGCACUCCAGUUGCCCCAGGGCCAAUUCCCACCUCCUGGCUCUGCUGGAAGCCCACGGCCUCCUGGAGAAGGGUCCACCCACAGACAUGGAUGUGGCAAUUCUCACCUGCUGCUGUGAGCAGCCCCCCAAGGCACUUCCUGGCCCAGGUCUCCUGUCCCCAUCGUCACCUGGGGAGAGCCCAGAUGGCUGUCACUGCAACGCCUCCUCCGUGUGUCCUGCCAGCAUUUCCUUCAUGGCUUCAAAGCCUCCACGCCCUGUAUUCCUGUACCAGUGGCCAUCUGCUGCCCACCAGGAUGCUGGCUCUUGACCCCUGGGCAUCUCCAGCCCUUGCUGUUGGGUAGGGCCUGAGGCCAGCUCUGGGAAGGCUUUGAGUGGACACAGCCUGUGUCGUUUCUGGACUGGAGGAUUCAUUGUCGGUGCCAGUGCCAGUGCCCAUGCCCAUAGCCACACUAUCCAGCAACACUGUGGGCGCCUACCGUCCUUGGGUUCAGGACACACACCAGGUCCUGGUCCCUUCAUGCCACUCACACAAGGUACGCUUGGCACAAGUUGUGAGCUUGUUUCAGAGCCUGGAGUAAAGGAGGCUGGGAUGGUCCCAGACCCACCGCAGCCCACCCUGCGCCCCCACCAGUAGCACGACAAGCUCUUCCCCUCCGAUCUGAUGCCUGGGUCUCCUGCUUGCCCUGAGUCCCCAUGCCCUGCUGGACUUGGGGGGCUGGACUUUUGCAGGCGGAGGACCUGUGGGCACUUCUCCCAAAGUGGCCUGAGUGCAGAGCACCGGGAGGUGGCUAGCAGACAUCGGGAGGCAUAGCAGGCAUCAGGCUGCAGGCAGGGUGUACAGGGCCUGGAGGAGAGGCAGGAGCCCUGCCCUGCUCUGGAGGUGGCAGUGUCCUCCUUCCUGGGCCUCCAGGCCUGAGCCUGCUGGAGGAGAAGCCCCUCCACCCCUGUUGCAUCAGCCUCCCUCAUGUCCUUCCCCACACCUGCCCAACCUGCUCUGUACCUCUGGCCCUGGCCCCGUGAAUCCCAGACCUGGUUCUCAGUGGCCUGAGCUGGGGGGAGAAGCAACAGUCUAUUAAGAUUUAAAGAGAUUUAGCAUAACAAGACAAGCAGGAAAAGAAAUUUAAUUUAGUGAUAAAAAAAAAGUAAUCAAAUCUCAACCUG
rnacentral:lncRNA from 1 species